rnacentral:rRNA from 1 species
CCUACGGGAGGCAGCAGUGGGGAAUAUUGGACAAUGGGCGAAAGCCUGAUCCAGCAAUGCCGCGUGAGUGAUGAAGGCCUUAGGGUUGUAAAGCUCUUUUACCCGGGAUGAUAAUGACAGUACCGGGCGAAUAAGCUCCGGCUAACUCCGUGCCAGCAGCCGCGGUAAUACGGAGGGAGCUAGCGUUAUUCGGAAUUACUGGGCGUAAAGCGCACGUAGGCGGCUUUGUAAGUAAGAGGUGAAAGCCCAGAGCUCAACUCUGGAAUUGCCUUUAGACUGCAUCGCUUGAAUCAUGGAGAGGUCAGUGGAAUUCCGAGUGUAGAGGUGAAAUUCGUAGAUAUUCGGAAGAACACCAGUGGCGAAGGCGGCUGACUGGACAUGUAUUGACGCUGAGGUGCGAAAGCGUGGGGAGUAAACAGGAUUAGAUACCCUGGUAGUCCACGCCGUAAACGAUGAUAACUAGCUGUCCGGACACUUGGUGUUUGGGUGGCGGCNGCUACGCAUUAAGUUAUCCGUCCGUGGGAGGUACGGCCGCGAACGGUUAAACGUUAAAACGGUAAGUUAGACGGCGUGAGACGUAGCCGACGGACGACGACGAGGGAGGUAGG